rnacentral:misc_RNA from 1 species
AAAAAAAAAAAAAAAAGAAAUUUAAGAACAUCAACAUAAGUGCAACAUUCUUCAACACUCCUUUCGUGCACACUGGCAGCCCAUCAGCACUCAUCUCGCGCGAUUGAUACACAUCUAGAGUAUUUUUAGAUCUACAGCAACUACGCUUACAUCAUCGACCAAAACUCGAGCUAGUGGAGCACGAUGUCGCUGGCCACAUGCGCGCACGAUGGAUGCAUAGCGGCACCUCUAUCAAGUUCAAGCCUCCUAAGUUUAUUCAUAGUCCAUGGGUUAUUGAUUCAUCUGCAAAUAGCCCAAUAAUAAUAAGGACGAAAUGAUGAAUUAGAAGUUGGAGUUGAGGGAAGAAAGAAGAAGACGAAGGAGGAGGAGGAGAAGAAAGAGAAGUAAACUGGGUUGGUUU